AAAAAAAAAAAACCAACCCAAACAUACAUCACAGAAGCUGCGCUUAAUAAGAGCCACUUCUAAGAGUUCGUGCAAAGAGUCAUAUACAAAGGCACAGCAAGGACAUACUGCUUGGAAUCACAGUUUUCGUCACAGAUUCACUAUUCACUACACGUAGGACAAGUUCAGUUGAUUUCAUCAUUUCACCUCUACGACAGCAUUAAUUACACAGAAAUUAUAUAGGUAGUUUGAAUAAAAAUAUUUGUAACAGCUUGGAGCUAUACGGACAUUAACACUUGACCACACAUGCACAGUUAAGCAGGUUGAGUGCAACACAUAACAUUUGUACUAAACCGGGGGAGGGUUUCUUUCUCUCUCUCUCUUUUUUUCCCUUUUCUUUCCUUUCCUUUUUGUUCUUUUUUUUUUCCUUUUGCUUCUUUUUUUUUUAACAGUUACUUCAAGUAACACAGCUCGCUUCAUAUAAAUAAGUUAAAACAUCUAUUAUUUUUUUUCAAGACAAAGCCAUUCAAGACAAAGAAAUGUACGAUAAAAGCAGAUCUACUUAUACACGCGAGAGAAUGGUAAUAAACAGGCUCAUGAUUAAAAGAUGAAUAAGGGCGACAAGAACAGGGUUUCUUCACAGAAGUAACACAAGGAAGUUUUAGAAAGUCAACUUAGUACUGACAUGAGACGCAGGGUCAGCUAAUACUGCUCAGUACUUUUAAUUGAUCAAACGCUUAGGGACGGAAUGCCCCCCCUGCAGCUGCCAUGCUCAUACUUUUCAGCUUAUUAUCCUUUUUCCAUUUCAUUCUCCUGUUUUGGAACCAGAUCUUUAUUUGUCUCUCUGAGAGGCAAAGAGCGUGUGCUAUUUCAAUCCUUCUUCUGCGGGUCAGGUAUCUAUUGAAGUGAAAUUCCUUUUCCAGCUCCAAGGUCUGAUACCGGGUGUAAGCAGUCCGAGCCCUUUUCCCUUCUGGUCCCCCUAUGUUGUCAUGACUUAUGUGCAGCUUUCGCAUCCAAGGGUAGAUCUGGGGCUGGGAAGGCUGUGCUGUGCUUUGGUCGCUCGGGGCACUUGCCUGCUCGCUGCUCGCCGGAGUGUCUUCCUCGGUGCCGGACGAGGUGCCAACCCCGUCCCUGCUGAUGUGCGUGCUGCUGCUGGAAUUGGACGAAGUGCUGCUGGAGUUGCCCAGGGAGUUUUUCACCCCGUGGUGACUCUCGCUGACGGGCGAAGCGGCCACGGCGGUGCAGGGCAGGGGGUCGGGGGGAGGCGAGUGGGAAGCGGCCGCGGACUGGCUGUACCUGGGCUCUGUCGAGGCAGAGGUGCUGUUGGCCGGGUAGGUGCGGGCUCUCUCGCUGGCACCAAAGUGGGUGGAAGCGGAGCGCCCGACGCUGAGGUCCAUGCCAUUGUAGCCGUAUCCGUACCUGCCGGAGUGCAUGCUGGCGGAGUCCCUGUAUUGCUCGCUCACCGAGCUGUGAUCUCCAUAAUUAUGUAACUGGUAGUCCGGGCCAUUUGGAUAGCGACCGCAAAAUGAGUUUACAAAAUAAGAGCUCAUUUGUUUUUUGAUAUGUGUGCUUGAUUUGUGGCUCUUGGUCGUUUUGUGCGUCUAUAGCACCCUUGCACAAUUUAUGAU
rnacentral:lncRNA from 1 species